rnacentral:tRNA from 1 species
GUCCACAUAGCUCAGCAGGAUAGAGCAACGGCCUUCUAAGCCGUAGGUCGGGAGUUCGAAUCUCUCUGUGGACGCCA